CACGCAUAAUAGCUACACACAGAAGACACUGGUACUUGCACAGACUUGCACACAGAGGGCAUUGACACACACACACAAUACACAGAGAAACACACACACACACACUCUCUCUCUCUCUCUACAGAGAAACUGACACACACACACAUUUACACUAAGUGGUCACUGACAUACACACAUUUAUACACAGAGGAAAUUGACACACA